GACCGUAGCUCAGUGCUAGAGCAUGUGCUUUGCAUGCAAAGAAAGUUCACAGGUUCAAUACCUGACAUCUACA